GUUAUGCCCCGUUAAAAAAAUUAGGGAGUCCGCUAGAGAGGAGGUCCCGAGUGAGAACGUAUCUGGUGAAACGAGCGAACUCGUGCACAGAUGCUCCGAGCGAUUCUGCGCCAGUGGAUGAAAAAAUAACGGAUGGGAUGUUAUCAUCACGUAGCCGCCGGCACAUUUUACAUAAUGAGCCUUGUAGAACCAUUUAACUGCACGCAGAGUCCCUCCGAAAUCCGUCUCCUUCGUUUCCUCUGUUCCUUUUCUGUACCUAUACCACUGAACCAGGGGUUCAUAGAAAAAUGGGGCGACUCACCUCUGUCCCUCGAUCUCCCUCUCCUCUUCGUCGAGAAGUCCCUAUCUCUCUCCUUUCCAUCUCCCUCUCCGGCCGCCGGCGUUGAAACAACAACGCCCAGAAUCCAAAUCAUGAGGUCCAGCGGCUGCGCGCUGUGAUUGCAUCUUUUUUGCGACGCAGGGCUGUAGCUCCGUGGACCAAUAACACGGCUGCAUAGGAGUCGGCUAUCCGCCUUUAUAGCUCGAGGAUCUGAGGAGGCUCUGUGGUCAUUUCAACAUGCAUUAUGUAUUCCAUCUAUCUUGAAGUCAUCAAGAUGACUUUCUGUUCAUGCUAGUUGGCCUGAGGAUUGAUUUGUACUCUAUCGCCCGAAAUGCUUUCCUCGUGAAGUAUAUCUACUAGUCGCUGCUGCUAAGUUGAUUUUUUCGAUUCCUUUUGUCUAAACCUGGUGCACAAAGGAAACAAAUCUGUACAAGUCUAUAUGUACUUCUACUUCGGUUGUCAUUUAUGCACUUGGAUGCUUCGAGUAAAAAGGGUCACUCAUGUGUUUAAGAAGUUAGUUCGCGAUGCCAAA